AGUGAAAGCUGGCGGUAGGCCUAACACAUGCAAGUUGAACGGCGGCACAGUAAGAGUUUGCUCUUACGGGUGGCGAGUGGCGGAUGGGAGAGGAAUACAUCGGAAUCUACUUUUUCGUGGGGGAUAACGUCGGGAAACUUACGCCAAUACCGCAUACGACCUACGGGUGAAAGCAGGGGAUCUUCGGACCUUGCGCGAUUGAAUGAGCCGAUGUCGGAUUAGCUAGUUGGCGUGGUAAAGGCCCACGUAGGCGACGCUCCGUAGCUGGUCUAAUAGGAUGAUCAGCCCCACUAGAACCCAGCCACCGUCCAGACUACGACGGAAGGCACCAGUGGGAAAUAUUGGACAAUGGACGCAAGCCCGAUCCAGCCAUACCGCGUGGAUGAAGAAAGCCUUCGGGUUGUAAAGCCCUUUUGUUGGGAAAGAAAAGGAAAAAGUUAAUGCGCCGCUGUUCUGACGGUACACAAAGAAUAAGCACGGUCUAACUACGUG
rnacentral:rRNA from 1 species